rnacentral:rRNA from 1 species
UACGAAGGGGGCUAGCGUUGCUCGGAAUUACUGGGCGUAAAGCGCGCGUAGGCGGUUUCUUAAGUCGGGGGUGAAAUCCUGGAGCUCAACUCCAGAACUGCCUUUGAUACUGGGAGACUUGAGUCCGGGAGAGGUGAGUGGAACUGCGAGUGUAGAGGUGAAAUUCGUAGAUAUUCGCAAGAACACCAGUGGCGAAGGCGGCUCACUGGCCCGGUACUGACGCUGAGGUGCGAAAGCGUGGGGAGCAAACAGG